rnacentral:lncRNA from 1 species
ACUUGGGGUGAAUAGUAUUUAACAUUAUACCCUUGAAUUAAUGGUCUUGUUAUCUUCUUUCCUUAGGCUUUUAUAGUGGGUCCAAGCCCAUCUUCCUCAUUGAUCCAUGCUUGGACAAAGAGUUGAAAGGUUUAUUGUAAUCUUUUAGCUCUCCCCCUUGUAAUGGGCCCAAUUGGAAUUGAGAUAUCUUUUCUGCCAACUUGAUCCAUAUCCACGCUCACAUCAUCCCCUCCCUCUUCAAAAAGAUUCAUUCUCGAAUCUAGGCCUACAUAAAAAAAAAAGAAAUGUCAGAUACAUUAAAUAUAGCAAACACAUCGUACUCACCUAGGAGAUAAAUUUUAUAGGCAUUGUCAUUGAUAUACU